rnacentral:lncRNA from 1 species
GUGAUAAUCUUACUGACUUCAGGUUUGGGCGUAAAUCGGUUGUCUUUACCAAAUCAGUCUCUUAGCACAACUCUGUCAUUAUGCGGUGACAUUUUCUUUUGAGUAUCAGUUUCCUCAUUUGGUGAUGCUAAGAAAAAAAUAGUACCAUAGAGAUGGUAGAAGAAUUGACAUUUACGCAAAAAUCUUGCGGUCUCUAAACAUUAAUAGGAAUUGUGACAGAGAAGUAGGAGCUGGAGCAAGCCUCCCUGCAAGCAGUGGAUAGAGGUGAGGAUGGCACUUCCAGCCAACAACCCCAAGGUUCAAGUGAGGACUGAGUCACCAAGGGCCCAUGGUUGAUGUGGCCUCCUCUGAUGUCAUAUGCAGCCCUCAGGGACAGAGCCAGUCCCUGAAGAGGAAGGAGAAAGAGUAUGAACAUGAGAUGGAGCGGUUGGCACGGGAGAAGAUUGCCACGCAGCAGCGCCUGGCAGAGCUCAAGCACGAGCUGAGCCAGUGGAUGGAUGUGCUGGAGAUUGACCGUGUGCUCAGGCAGACGGGCCAGCCCGAGGAUGACCAGGCCUCCACCUCCACAGCCUCUGCUUUCCAUAAAGCCUCUUCAAUCAGAGGAAUCGGAACAGAGAAGUCUUGAAACUGAGGCCAGAUACAGGAUACUCUUGCUCAGAGACACUGACCUCAUCAGAAGCGGAUGCAGUACUGAACUCAUGGGAACCCACGGCUACCUCCCAUUUUCUCUACAAGGAGGGAGAAGCUCCCCCAAAUUCCAAAAGAUCCAUUUCCCCCUACUAUUCUAUUCAAAUGCAGCACAAAGAAGUUGUGUUUGUGUGAAAGCACCGGUUGCCCAUUCUUCAGUUGAAAUUUUGAGACACUGA